rnacentral:tRNA from 1 species
GCCUGGGUGGCACAGCGGUUGAGCGUCUGCCUUUGGCUCAGGGCGUGAUGCCGGUGUUGUGGGAUCGAGCCCCACAUCAGGCU